AGAGUUUGAUUCUGGCUCAGGAUGAACGCUAGCGACAGGCUUAACACAUGCAAGUCGAGGGCAGCAUAGAAGUAGCAAUACUUCGGUGGCGACCGGCGCACGGGUGAGUAACGCGUAUGCAACCUACCUAUCAGAGGGAAUGACCCGGCGAAAGUCGGACUAAUACCGCAUAAAACAGGGGCACCGCAUGGUGAUAUUUGGUAAAGAAAUUCGCUGAUAGAUGGGCAUGCGUUCCAUUAGGUAGUUGGUGAGGUAACGGCUCACCAAGCCGACGAUGGAUAGGGGAACUGAGAGGUUGGUCCCCCACACUGGUACUGAGACACGGACCAGACUCCUACGGGAGGCAGCAGUGAGGAAUAUUGGUCAAUGGGCGGGAGCCUGAACCAGCCAAGUCGCGUGAAAGGAAGAAGGAUCUAUGGUUCGUAAACUUCUUUUGCAGGGGAAUAAAGUGCAGGACGUGUCCUGUUUUGUAUGUACCCUGAGAAUAAGGAUCGGCUAACUCCGUGCCAGCAGCGGC
rnacentral:rRNA from 1 species